CUCUCUAUCUGCCCUCGACGGCGGAGGCGGCGCCGAUUCAUCUACUCGUCGGUUCCAGUCUCUGAGAAUCAACAAAUGCCGAAGAUCAAGACCAGCCGCGUCCAGUACCCCACUGGCUGGGAGCUUAUCGAGCCCACUCUUCGCGAACUGGAGUCGAAGAUGCGCGAAGCUGAGAAUGACCCACAUGAUGGGAAGAGGAAGUGCGAGGGGUUGUGGCCGAUCUUCAAGAUCGCCCACCAGAAGAGUCGAUAUAUAUUUGACUUGUAUUAUCGGAGGAAGGAGAUUGAUAAGGAG
rnacentral:misc_RNA from 1 species